GACUAGGAGAGAUUACAUGAAUCAUGAAGUCCAUCCCCUAUCCACAACCAGAAGCUCCAAGGUUAUAUUUUUCCAGUUCCUGGACCUUGCCCAAAACAUUCCAGAGGUUUCAAGAAAUAUUUAGAAAGUCGAAGGUUUCCAAGGAGGUGGCUAACUAGGACUGAAUACACAACCACAUUUGUGCUGAAUAGCUAGAAAGCAAAGGAAACCCAUUAUGUGGUUUUUAAAACCUUUUGUGAAUUGUGGAAAAGAUACGUAAUGUUUCUGCUGAAGAAAAUCCAUCACAAUUAUCUAUAUGUUUUUUAUUUCACUCCAAGAAUUUUCAACAAUGAAUCUUUAUUGGGACCUUCAUAAAUAAAUAAAUAACCAGCAGUACUGCUGUCAUGGAGAACACUUAUAAAUGAGCUUACUACUACACAGCUGCUCUGAAGACUGCAUGUAUUGCUUGUAAAUAAUUAGUUUUCCACCUCUGACAGGUAGGGUUAUAAAAAUGAUUAU